rnacentral:rRNA from 1 species
GUGCCAGCAGCCGCGGUAAUACGUAGGGUGCGAGCGUUGUCCGGAAUUACUGGGCGUAAAGAGCUCGUAGGUGGUUUGUCGCGUUGUCCGUGAAAACUCACAACUCAAUUGUGGGCGUGCGGGCGAUACGGGCAGACUGGAGUACUGCAGGGGAGACUGGAAUUCCUGGUGUAGCGGUGGAAUGCGCAGAUAUCAGGAGGAACACCGGUGGCGAAGGCGGGUCUCUGGGCAGUAACUGACGCUGAGGAGCGAAAGCGUGGGGAGCGAACAGGAUUAGAAACCCCUG